rnacentral:sRNA from 1 species
CCUGAAAUAAGCAUCGGGUUUAGUGACUUCAUUAA